GAUGAACGCUGGCGGCGUGCCUAAUACAUGCAAGUAGAACGCUGAAGGAGGAGCUUGCUCUUCUGGAUGAGUUGCGAACGGGUGAGUAACGCGUAGGUAACGUGCCUGGUAGCGGGGGAUAACUAUUGGAAACGAUAGCUAAUACCGCAUGACAACAGUUAUUGCAUGAUAACUGUUUAAAAGGGGCAACUGCUCCACUACCAGAUGGACCUGCGUUGUAUUAGCUAGUUGGUGAGGUAACGGCUCACCAAGGCGACGAUACAUAGCCGACCUGAGAGGGUGAUCGGCCACACUGGGACUGAGACACGGCCCAGACUCCUACGGGAGGCAGCAGUAGGGAAUCUUCGGCAAUGGACGGAAGUCUGACCGAGCAACGCCGCGUGAGUGAAGAAGGUUUUCGGAUCGUAAAGCUCUGUUGUAAGAGAAGAACGAGUGUGAGAGUGGAAAGUUCACACUGUGACGGUAUCUUACCAGAAAGGGACGGCUAACUACGUG
rnacentral:rRNA from 1 species